CGGGUGGUAAUGCCGGAUGCUCCAUCACACCGCAUGGUGUGUUGGGAAAGCCUUUGCGGCAUGGGAUGGGGUCGCGUCCUAUCAGCUUGAUGGCGGGGUAACGGCCCACCAUGGCUUCGACGGGUAGCCGGCCUGAGAGGGCGACCGGCCACAUUGGGACUGAGAUACGGCCCAGACUCCUACGGGAGGCAGCAGUGGGGAAUAUUGCACAAUGGGCGCAAGCCUGAUGCAGCGACGCCGCGUGAGGGAUGGAGGCCUUCGGGUUGUAAACCUCUUUUGUUAGGGAGCAAGGCACUUUGUGUUGAGUGUACCUUUCGAAUAAGCACCGGCUAACUACGUGCCAGCAGCCGCGGUAAUACGUAGGGUGCAAGCGUUAUCCGGAAUUAUUGGGCGUAAAGGGCUCGUAGGCGGUUCGUCGCGUCCGGUGUGAAAGUCCAUCGCUUAACGGUGGAUCCGCGCCGGGUACGGGCGGGCUUGAGUGCGGUAGGGGAGACUGGAAUUCCCGGUGUAACGGUGGAAUGUGUAGAUAUCGGAAAGAACACCA
rnacentral:rRNA from 1 species